rnacentral:rRNA from 1 species
CAAUAGCAUAUAUUAACGUUGUUGCAGUUGAAAAGCUCGUAGUUGAACUUUUGGUAGGAGCGACCUGGCCUUGGGCGCAUGCCCUUGUUUGCCGUGCGUCGUAUCUGGCCAUCCUUUUCCGUUUCGGCGGGAAUCUUUUACUGUGAGUAAACUGGAGUGCUCAAAACAAGACGUUUGUUUGGUACAUUAAAGCAUGGAAUAAUAAGAUAGGACCUGGUUACUAUUUUGUUGGUUUGCAUAGCUAGGUAAUGAUUAACAGGGACAGUUGGGGGUAUUCGUAUUUAAUUGUCAGAGGUGAAAUUCUUGGAUUUAUGAAAGACGAACGACUGCGAAAGCAUUUACCAAGGAUGUUUUCAUUAA